CUCAUUGAUCCCUCAUUUUAGUAUGCCCUGCCCCCAACAUCCUGUUUAAUCAGGAAAUAUAAUCACAUUCAGGAAGUAAGAUUCUUCCAAAACUGGCACUUCACUGGAAUUCAAAAUGCCAUUAAACAUUUUUAUACCACGUGUAAGUAACAUGAAGUCACUGCAAGUCCACUUGUUUCCUGCAGAGCCGAGCGGUGACGGACGUGAUUAAGUUCAUGAGAGCUCAACAAGCUUCUCCACUGUGGCUUGGGGAGGGUGAGACAGUUCACCUGGACUCUAUGGGGAGAAAGAUGAACUCUUCUGGUCUACCAUCUGCUCACCAGUCCACCUUUGGAACGCUCCCCUGGUCCCGUCAAGCUCUUGGCCUCAUCCUCCCCGACUGAAGAUCAGCCAGAUAACAUUACCUCCUGACCAAUCAGGCGCCUGGAUCCAUACCUCAUCCCACAGGUAGGCUUUCCAACAGACAGGCCAGUAGAAAGAGCGUUGCUUUCAUUGAGAGCCAACCAAUGGGAGCACAGAGAUGUGAUCCACCGCUAAAACGGGGCCAACCUGUGUUUUGUGGUGUUGUUGAGGUAAUGUGGAGUGGGG
rnacentral:lncRNA from 1 species